CCUUCACUUCCGUAUCGGUCAAAUUGACCGGUGGCGCGUUAAAACACGACUUCGCGAAAAUAAGAUCUCCGUCUUUAUUUUAUGGUAGCAUGAAGGUAUAUAAACUAUAUAUCAUCUUUUUGGAAAUUUUCUCUACUUUUAAAAUAUCUAAAAAGAUUUUGUCUUGAUCGCCGGUAUUUAAUCGAUUUUACGUUGUGAAGACAAACGUGACUUUUUGAAAAUGGCGUAAUUUUCCAAAGCAAUUGCCGAUUUUCCAGACGAUUGACAUUUUUUUCCUGAUUAACUUUUUAAAGAAAGUAUGAUAUAUUCUUAAAGCAUAUUUUCUCUGCUUUUAAAAUAUGUAAAAAUUAUUGUUAUUACUUUAAAGUAUGUUUUAAAAACAAGAAUUUUCUUGCACUUAUGUGUUUUUUCUCGAUUUUAUUCGUAAUGUUUAAACAAAGCUCAGUUUUACGUUUAUUUCUGUAUUGAAAUAGGUUAAACAAAAUAAAGCUGGUAAAAGUAGAGAAAAUUUCCUUUCCAACAAGCCCUUACAGGCCUUCUUACGCUCAGUAUUUUCUUAAUUACGAUAAUUUGAAUUUGUGACCUUCGCAUAGUUUUUAUGGAAAAAUCGGUCAAUAUUUACAUGUAACGUCAAGGUCGAUAUUGUUGUGUCUAACUCGAAACAACAAAUUCUUUUAUAAGACUUUUUUUUGACCAUUUAGAUAUAUUUUUUACUGAAAUAAAUACAUAAUACAAAAAAAAAAAAAGAUUUCAAAAAACAAAUAUAUACCAUUGUUCUGCCUUUUGUGUGAAGUGAAAUGUUAAUUUAUUCAUCUACAUGUAAUUCAUCUAUAUUUCAUGUAGUGAUAUACAAUGUUGAUAAAAAUUGUAGAUUCCUUAAACGCCGAUCUUUACUCAAAAAAAAAAAAUCAGAUUUUUAAUAUUAUUGUAUCUUGUUAUACUGUAUUCUAAAUUUGCAAUUUAUUUAGAUCUAUAUUGGCACGAAAUUUAACAAUACAAAAACUCGCAUUUAUAAAUAAAUACGACUCAUCACUGUAUGAGUUGAUACGAAUUGAAAUAACCACGUGUUUCCGCUAUGGCAGCAGUAAACAACAUGAUGGCGAUCCGAAAUCUGAACGUCAAUUUUCAUGAUUAUUUCACGACGAAGAUCAUCACAUCAAUGAAUCAAAUAAUACGGACAUGCCUUUAGUAUUAGCAGGUGAGAAUACGUGUAUAUUGACUGAAUAGUUUAAGUUUAAAACGCACUUAGUUCACGUUCUAAAGAAAACUAAAUGUACACAUGUACUAGAUCUUCAUAUUUCAGUGUGCGUAUUUCGUAUUGUUCAGCCAAUUUUGUGUUGCUUUUGAAAUUUGAUGCUUUUGACAAUCACUCGUAAGUUCAAAGUAAAAUCAAAGUUGCCAUAAUAAUGGAUAGUUGUUUUCAGUAUGUGUGUACCAGUCAGCCAGUGUGUACAUGUACCACUUUCACAUUGAAUUUUUAGGGUGCUGGCACCAUAUGCAACAAUACUUUCAUCGGUGAAUACCCACUUGCUAAGCCCACCAUGAACUACGAAGGCCAAUUAAUAUGUAAGGACACCAAUGAACAGACACUUUCCAAUUAUCGUACAUCAUAUACAUGGGUGGUCAAACUCACUGGAUGGUUUAUCAACACUCCCAUGCUCACAAACAGCCUUGCCCCAGGAAUUUUGCCUGAAGUAACAUUGCAGUCUAUUGUCUCCUUUCUUUUUACAACCCUGGCAGCCAUGCAGGAUAGAAGCUGAUCACUUGUACUUGACAGCAAAUAAUGUCUUGGACAAGUCAAAGACUUUCCUCCAGUCUUACAGAGAAAUGACAGUUGAUAAAAGAAUGGUGGACACAAAGUAAAAGUGCUCUGCAACAUUUUGUUGAAGAUUUCAGUCUGAUUUGGAAUUCAUCUUGCAAUAUUUCUGGAUUUGUAUAUUUGGAUAUAAACUUCACAUUUUCAACUUAUUGACUAGACAGUUUUGCGUUAAAUAUUGCCAAUGCUAUCUAUUAUUAUUAUUUCCCUCCAAGACAACAUGUCAUGUCUUUAUUGUACCCCUUAAGCUCUGUUAUACCAGUAAAAUCUUGUAAUGAAAUCAUUUAGUUUAUUUUUUCUUGUUAGAUUAAAUCCAUGAAAAUAAAGAUUAUUUUUAAUGGUAUCAAGAGAAUGGAUUUUUUUGUUUAACAAAAAGACUGUAUACAUGUUUUGCUAGGGGUUUGUAAGAAGCAGACCAGAAUUCUUUGUUGGAAAUUUUGUCGUUUGCCAUUUUUAUCACGUCAACUAUUAGAUGAUUUAUCCAUGAUUGAAGCAUUUCAAAAUUGAUAUUUACUUACAAUUUAAAGCAGAAUUCUG